AUACGUAGGGAGCGAGCGUUGUCCGGAAUUACUGGGCGUAAAGGGCGCGUAGGCGGCGCUUCAAGUCGUCUGUCAAAUGGAAGGGCUUAACCCUUUUUCGCAGACGAAACUGGAGAGCUUGAGAAGCAGAGAGGCAAACAGAAUUCCUGGUGUAGCGGUGAAAUGCGUAGAUAUCAGGAAGAAUACCAGUGGCGAAGGCGGUUUGCUGGCUGCAUACUGACGCUGAAGCGCGAAAGCCAGGGGAGCGAACGGGAUUAGAUACCCCGGUAGUCCUGGCAGUAAACGAUGUAUGCUGGGUGUGAGACUAGCGAUAGUUUCGUGCCGAAGUUAACGCGAUAAGCAUGCCGCCUGGGGAGUACGGUCGCAAGAUUGAAACUCAAAUGAAUUGACGGGG
rnacentral:rRNA from 1 species